rnacentral:rRNA from 1 species
AUUGAACGCUGGCGGCAGGCCUAACACAUGCAAGUCGAGCGGCAGCGGAAAGUAGCUUGCUACUUUGCCGGCGAGCGGCGGACGGGUGAGUAAUGUCUGGGAAACUGCCUGAUGGAGGGGGAUAACUACUGGAAACGGUAGCUAAUACCGCAUAACGUCGCAAGACCAAAGAGGGGGACCUUCGGGCCUCUUGCCAUCAGAUGUGCCCAGAUGGGAUUAGCUAGUAGGUGGGGUAACGGCUCACCUAGGCGACGAUCCCUAGCUGGUCUGAGAGGAUGACCAGCCACACUGGAACUGAGACACGGUCCAGACUCCUACGGGAGGCAGCAGUGGGGAAUAUUGCACAAUGGGCGCAAGCCUGAUGCAGCCAUGCCGCGUGUAUGAAGAAGGCCUUCGGGUUGUAAAGUACUUUCAGCGGGGAGGAAGGUGUUGAGGUUAACAACCUCAGCAAUUGACGUUACCCGCAGAAGAAGCACCGGCUAACUCCGUG